AUGACUGAACAAUGACUGAAGAACAACAAAAAGGGGCUGGCAGCCUUUGAAGGCUUUGGAGUAGGGAAGUGACAUGAUCGGAGGUGUGCUCUAGGAAGCUGAUUCUGCCGAUGGUGAGCAGGGUGGAUUGGAGGGGGAAAGAUGGUUGAGAGAGCAGUCGGGAGGCCUUGCCAAUGCCUAGGUGAAGGGGCCCAGCCCUGGGCACCGGUGCUGGGAAUGGAAAGAAGAGGACAGAUGCUAGGAAGGUGGAAACGAUUGUAUCUGGGAACUGAAGAAGGAAGAAAAAUGAUCCUGAGAUGUUGGGGCUGGACGUGGAGGGGUUACGUAGGGGGAGGAUGCCAUGAAUAGAAAUUAAAAAAAAACCUUCAUAUUUCAUUUAUAAGAUGAAUAAAUGGGGGCCAGUGUGGCAAAGUGGAUAGAAUGCUGGAGCUGCCUCGGACACUACCCAGCUGUGUGCCUGUCUAGAGAAACAGGCCUUGUGUUCCAUUCAGAACAGGAACUACCAAGGGAACCUUUUAUUUAUUAACUACAAGCAGGACGCAUUCUAAGCGUGGCAUCCUAAGGACAGAGGAGACCAACAGCUCCUAGGCAAUCAGACUUCUCUAGGGAGGAGUCCUGGGUCGGGCACCUACAUAAAGUAACUUGGUGGAAUGGGAGCAAGUUGUCCCAAAGCUUCUUAGGCUAUUUUUUUGGGGAAAGCUCCCCUGCCUCGAAGUUUCCUGCUGUACAAUCUCCUUCCUGUGACCUGAGAGCCAGCAGAGCUUUAGGAUCUUGGGGCAGGCAGCUGCAGCCCCUCCUACCCCUGCUGCACAAAGCUCGGGGAGGUUGGAGGCUUGUUCGAUCUUGCUUCCGACGGUGACUCAGGCCGCAUCAUUUAACCUUCCCCAACCGCAGUUCCUCAUGUGCAAGAUGAGACCAGUAAUAUCUGUACCCUUACCUCACAGGGCUGCUCUUGGUUCAGGACCUUAAAGGGAGAUGUAAAUGCUGGCUCUUCUGAUAAUUAAUGCUACAGUAAAAAGUUCUGCAAAGUCUGCCGCCUCCAAAUCAUUUAAUGCCAUGUCGAUUUCCAUCUAAGAAAAGAAUGUAACACAAACAGAAUCCAAAAUUAUGACGAAUACAUUCACUGGCAAACUGCUAAGGAGCACAGCAUUUUGUACAAAAACCGUGAUGAUCUGACUGCCUGAAUGGAUGAAGAAGAGAAUGAAGCCCCUCUGCGAUCUGGCACAGGACGAUUACCUGACUGAACCAUUGGGAACUCUGCCAUCAUGGAGGAUUUCGGUUCUGUUGCUAUAGAAAUGUCCUAGAGUAUCUGACUCACUCUCAGAGGUAGCCAAACUGUAAGGAGAGUUCAGGAGGAGUUUUGUUUUUGUUACAUAAAUUUAAACUGGCUGGGAGGCUGGGGCUGAGGUGGGUUGACAAAUGUGCUGCUCAUUGGGAGGCAACAUUUUUUUUUUUUUAAAAGCCAAGACAUUCCCUACAGGGCUGGGGGAAACACAGUGUUGUUCAAGAUGAUGGAACCUUCUGGAACAUUAGUCAUGCCUCUUAACGUGUCCAUACUCAUUGAUGACCCAUCUUUUUCACCAUCUAACGCAGACUCUGUAGCUUCUUGUGUGUGUGUGUAUGUGUGUGUUUUGUGAAGGAGAUUCCCAGUUUCAGACACUGGCCAGUAGGUGUGCUGCCCCCACAACUGAAACAUGACACUUAAUGCCCCAGUAUUUCUCUGGUUGGCCCCAAUACCCUUUAAGAAAAAAAAUGUAACGUUAUUGUUUCUUCUCUUACCUACUCCAGUGUAACCCAAGAAAAAUAAAAAUCAAAGUAAAACCUCUAAAGGAUUUGUGAAAAGCACCCAUGUGCCCCUCAUCCUGUGAGCGUAACGGGUCUAAAGGUUAGACCCCAGGUUAUCUGGGGCCAGACAGCACAUGAGCGCAAGCAUCUAUCCAGAAGUGCUCUUUUUAAAUAAGAAGACGUAGAGCCAGUACACCCCUGCUACCUGGAACACAGCCAGAGGGAGAAGACAUAAAAGGUGCUGUAGGACUGUGGCGUAAAAUUAAAUAAAUCAACAAGAAUCAGGGGCAGGUCUGUCCACGUCUUUCAGCUUUUAACUUCCUCAUGGGGAAUUUCAGAACAUCCUGUCCGCAAUA